rnacentral:rRNA from 1 species
GACGAACGCUGGCGGCGUGCCUAAUACAUGCAAGUUGAGCGCUGAAGGUUGGUACUUGUACCGACUGGAUGAGCAGCGAACGGGUGAGUAACGCGUGGGGAAUCUGCCUUUGAGCGGGGGACAACAUUUGGAAACGAAUGCUAAUACCGCAUAAAAACUUUAAACACAAGUUUUAAGUUUGAAAGAUGCAAUUGCAUCACUCAAAGAUGAUCCCGCGUUGUAUUAGCUAGUUGGUGAGGUAAAGGCUCACCAAGGCGAUGAUACAUAGCCGACCUGAGAGGGUGAUCGGCCACAUUGGGACUGAGACACGGCCCAAACUCCUACGGGAGGCAGCAGUAGGGAAUCUUCGGCAAUGGACGAAAGUCUGACCGAGCAAUGCCGCGUGAGUGAAGAAGGUUUUCGGAUCGUAAAACUCUGUUGGUAGAGAAGAACGUUGGUGAGAGUGGAAAGCUCAUCAAGUGACGGUAACUACCCAGAAAGGGACGGCUAACUACGUG